rnacentral:pre_miRNA from 1 species
ACUACAGCCACUACUACGAGACCAUCGAGGACCUGCGGGACCAGAUUCUCAGUGCCACCAUCCAGAACUCCAAGGUCGUGCUGCAGAUCAACAACGCCUGCCCGGCGGCGGAUG